UACGUAGGGUGCGAGCGUUGUCCGGAAUUACUGGGCGUAAAGAGCUCGUAGGUGGUUUGUCGCGUUGUUCGUGAAAACUCACAACUCAAUUGUGGGCGUGCGGGCGAUACGGGCAGACUGGAGUACUGCAGGGGAGACUGGAAUUCCUGGUGUAGCGGUGGAAUGCGCAGAUAUCAGGAGGAACACCGGUGGCGAAGGCGGGUCUCUGGGCCGAUACUGACGCUGAGGAGCGAAAGCGUGGGGAGCAAACGGG
rnacentral:rRNA from 1 species